GCGCUCACUACGGCAGCACAUAUACUAAAAUCGGAUCGAUACAGAGAAGAUUAGCAUGGCCCCU
rnacentral:snRNA from 1 species